rnacentral:tRNA from 1 species
GCCGGGGUGGCAGAGCGGUAAUGCGCUGGACUCGAGAUCCAGUGACCCUUAUCCGGGUCUCAAGGGUUCAAAUCCCUUCCCCGGCGCCA